CCUACGGGAGGCAGCAGUGAGGAAUAUUGGUCAAUGGACGAGACUCUGAACCAGCCAAGUAGCGUGCAGGAUGACUGCCCUAUGGGUUGUAAACUUCUUUUAUGUGGGAAUAAAAUGUUCCACGUGUGGGUUGUUGUAUGUACCAUAUGAAUAAGGAUCGGCUAACUCCGUGCCAGCAGCCGCGGUAAUACGGAGGAUCCGAGCGUUAUCCGGAUUGAUUGGGUUUAAAGGGAGCGUAGGUGGAGUGUUAAGUCAGUUGUGAAAGUUUGCGGCUCAACCGUAAAAUUGCAGUUGAAACUGGGAGUCUUGAGUACAGUAGAGGUGGGCGGAAUUCGUGGUGUAGCGGUGAAAUGCUUAGAUAUCACGAAGAACUCCGAUUGCGAAGGCAGUUCACUGGACUGCAACUGACACUGAGGCUCGAAGGUGUGGGUAUCAAACAGGAUUAGAUACCCUAGUAGUC
rnacentral:rRNA from 1 species